UUUGUCUUAUCUACAAUUAAAAUUAUUUGAAUAAGUGUUCGCAAAUAAUAAUUUUGUAAUGCUUUUUUCAUAUGAGCUCUUAGCUUAGAUUCAACUACAAACAACAUUCUAUGCCUAACCAGUGUAACGGCCAACUUAAUAGAAUAACAAAAUAAUUAAUAAGUGAAUAAUAAUGAGUAAAUAUUAACAAUGAGUUAAUCUUUUAAUUACCCUUUUAAAUUGUGAAAAUAGACAGAGUUAAAAUCUAUAAUUAAUUGUCAACCCUUGAAUCGUGAAAUUUGUGACGGUGAAGUUGAUCACUUGUGGCCGCGGGAUGUAAAGAUCCAAAAAACACAAGAUAUCUUCGUCUCCUGUAUUAGCAAAUAUCUAUAAUUGGUGGUGUUUUGCCAUAAAUUUCAAUUUAAAAAUGGUUUCGUUCAACACCUUUUGUGCGGAUAAACAACAUUAAAAUUAACAUUAUUUGAAUUCAAUCUCCUGUAGCCGUUGAAACGCCAUAGCAAGUUUUAUUCAAGAAAAUUCAAGAUGUGAUCUAAAAUCAAUCGUUCACUACGUGGUCAAAUAAACAUGAGAUAUUGAUCGAAAUAUUUAUAUAUAAAAGUGUAUUUUUAUUUGCAAAUUUUUACAACAUUGAUCUAAGUUUCUCCAAUACAUUGAUAUGAUUACGUUUGGGUAACAAUACAUUUUGUGUUGAUCAGUACUUGGUUUUAUCAAAUUGGAAAUU